UACAGAGGUCUCAAGCGUUGUUCGGAUUCAUUGGGCGUAAAGGGUGCGUAGGUGGCGCCGUAAGUCAGGUGUGAAAUUUCGGAGCUUAACUCCGAAACUGCAUUUGAUACUGCGGUGCUUGAGGACUGGAGAGGAGACUGGAAUUCACGGUGUAGCAGUGAAAUGCGUAGAUAUCAGGAGGAACACCGGUGGCGAAGGCGGGUCUCUGGGCCGAUACUGACGCUGAGGAGCGAAAGCGUGGGGAGCGAACAGG
rnacentral:rRNA from 1 species